GGGGGGGGGGGGGGGGGGGGGGGGGGGGGGGGGGGGGGGGGGGAGGGGGCGGGGUGGGGGGGGUGCGCGGGGGGGGAACGGGGGAGUAACACGUGAGUAACCUGCCCUUGACUUUGGGAUAACUUCAGGAAACUGGGGCUAAUACCGGAUAGGAGCUCCUGCUGCAUGGUGGGGGUUGGAAAGUUUCGGCGGUUGGGGAUGGACUCGCGGCUUAUCAGCUUGUUGGUGGGGUAGUGGCUUACCAAGGCUUUGACGGGUAGCCGGCCUGAGAGGGUGACCGGCCACAUUGGGACUGAGAUACGGCCCAGACUCCUACGGGAGGCAGCAGUGGGGAAUAUUGCACAAUGGGCGGAAGCCUGAUGCAGCAACGCCGCGUGCGGGAUGACGGCCUUCGGGUUGUAAACCGCUUUCGCCUGUGACGAAGCGUGAGUGACGGUAAUGGGUAAAGAAGCACCGGCUAACUACGUG
rnacentral:rRNA from 1 species